rnacentral:rRNA from 1 species
UACGUAGGGUGCGAGCGUUGUCCGGAAUGACUGGGCGUAAAGAGCUCGUAGGUGGUUUGUCGCGUUGUUCGUGAAAACUCACAGCUCAACUGUGGGCGUGCGGGCGAUACGGGCAGACUGGAGUACUGCAGGGGAGACUGGAAUUCCUGGUGUAGCGGUGGAAUGCGCAGAUAUCAGGAGGAACACCGGUGGCGAAGGCGGGUCUCUGGGCAGUAACUGACGCUGAGGAGCGAAAGCGUGGGGAGCGAACAGG